rnacentral:rRNA from 1 species
UACAGAGGGUGCAAGCGUUAAUCGGAAUUACUGGGCGUAAAGUGUGCGCAGGCGGCCGCGCAAGUCGAGUGUGAAAGCCCCGAGCUUAACUUGGGAACUGCGCUCGAAACUACGUGGCUGGAGUGUGGCAGAGGAAGGUGGAAUUCCAGGUGUAGCGGUGAAAUGCGUAGAGAUCUGGAGGAAUACCGGUGGCGAAGGCGGCAUUCUGGACCGACAUUGACACUAAAGCGCGAAAGCCAGGGGGGCAAACGGG